rnacentral:rRNA from 1 species
GACGAACGCUGGCGGCGUGGAUUAGGCAUGCAAGUCGAACGGUAUCAUCCUUUCGGGGGUGAGAGAGUGGCGAACUGGUGAGUAACACGUAGGUUAUCUACCCUCAAGACGGGGACAACCCAGGGAAACUUGGGCUAAUACCGGAUGUGAGCAACUUUUAGUUGUUUGAAAGGUGGCGUAAGCUGUCGCUUGGGGAUGAGCCUGCGUCCUAUUAGUUAGUUGGUGAGGUAACGGCUCACCUAGGCAAUGAUAGGUAGGCGGCCUUAACGGGUGGUCGCCCACACUGGGAUUGAGAUACGGCCCAGACUCCUACGGGAGGCAGCAGUCGAGAAUAGUCUACAAUGGUUCGGAAGACUGAUAGUGCGACGCCGCGUGAACGAUGAAUCCCUUCGGGGUGUAAAGUUCUUUUAUAUGUGAGCAGUGCUUCUUAUAUUAACAGUAUGGGGAGAGAGAUAUUAGCAUAUGAAUAAGCAACGGCUAACUCCGUGCCAGCAGCCGCGGUAAACUCGU